AGCCACUUGAACAAGAAAAGCCUUUCUAAACAAGGGCAUUUCUGAGGCUCUUGCUGGUUUUUUUGCCUUCCAGCUGACCAUCUUUGACUUCAGGGAGGUUGGUCUCAGGCUCAGGAAGAAGCCGGACAGCCCUCAGGAGACAAAGCUGCCCAAGACUGUCCGGCCCCCAGGCACGAGUGAGAACUCCAGUUCCAAGCAUGCCUGCUGUGUCAGCGAUCAGAGGCUGACCCGGACAUCUGCGGAGAAAACCUUCAGAUAAAUGGGCUCUGGGCCCACGAGUUCUGCCGGAUUUUUACCAGCCACCUUCCUCACCACCCGGCUCACUGAGGAGGACUCAGGGCUUUUCUCCCAAGGGAUAUCCCAGAUAUAGUCUCCUGGGCGGCACAGCAGAGCUGCUGCAUCUGUGGCCAGAGCGGGGCCACCAUCCCCUGCUGUGA